rnacentral:rRNA from 1 species
AUUGAACGCUGGCGGCAGGCCUAACACAUGCAAGUCGAGCGAGUGGUGGACGGGUGAGUAAUGUAUGGGGAUUUGCCUGCUAGAGGGGGAUAACUACUGGAUACGGUGGCUAAUUCCGCAUACUUUCGGAUGAACCUAUAUGGGAUUAGCUAGUAGGUGGGGUGAAGGGUCACUGAGGCGACGAUGUCUAGCUGGUCCGAGAGGAUGAUCAGCCACACUGGGACUGAGACACGGCCCAGACUCCUACGCGAGGCAGCAGUGGGGAAUAUUGCACAAUGGGAGAAAGCGUGAUGCAGCCAUGCCGCGUGUAUGAAGAGGGCCUUAGGGUUGUAAAGUACUAUCAGCGGGGAGGCGUUACCCGCAGAAGAAGCACCGGCUAACUCCGUGCCAGCAGCCGCGGUAAUAC